rnacentral:rRNA from 1 species
AUUGAACGCUGGCGGCAUGCCUUACACAUGCAAGUCGAACGGUAACAGGUCUUCGGAUGCUGACGAGUGGCGAACGGGUGAGUAAUACAUCGGAACGUGCCUAGUAGUGGGGGAUAACUACUCGAAAGAUUGGCUAAUACCGCAUGAGAUCUACGGAUGAAAGCAGGGGAUCGCAAGACCUUGUGCUACUAGAGCGGCCGAUGGCAGAUUAGGUAGUUUGUGGGAUAAAAGCUUACCAAGCCGACGAUCUGUAGCUGGUCUGAGAGGACGAUCAGCCACACUGGGACUGAGACACGGCCCAGACUCCUACGGGAGGCAGCAGUGGGGAAUUUUGGACAAUGGGCGCAAGCCUGAUCCAGCAAUGCCGCGUGCAGGAUGAAGGCCUUCGGGUUGUAAACUGCUUUUGUACGGAACGAAAAGCCCUGGGUUAAUACCCUGGGGUCAUGACGGUACCGUAAGAAUAAGCACCGGCUAACUACGUGCCAGCCGCCGCUGUAAAAC